AACGGAGCGGUAUUACGAACCACAAUAAACGAACGCCUUGAGUCACACAGUUCUCUUCGUAUUGUGAUAUUAAUCGUGAAGGUUGAAACUGGUGCCAUGUUUUGUUAUUUAUUUUAAAAUAUUUCAUUACAGUUAUAAAACCGAAUAACAGGAGGAUGGGUCUCUGUUUUUCAUUCGACUGUGGGGAUUGUGACCUGUGUGUAAACCCCUGCUGUUUAGCAUUGAGCGCUUGUUGUCUGAUUCCGUGUCUGUGUCCGAACGCCUGUGGGCAACAGCAACAACAACAACAGCCACCACAGACCAUCCACGUGCAUCAUCCUCCAGUGAUAAUCGAGCAGCAACCACCUCAACCCGGAUAUCCCUACCCUCCACCACCAGACGGAGGCUAUCCCGGUUACCCUCCACACCAGCAACCAGGAUAUCCGGGUUAUCCUCAACCGCCAUCGUACCGAUGAAAAGCCAUUGAUCGUUUCUAAAGAAUGGGUUGCAAUAUCUCGUGUCGACCCUGUUGCUGUUGCUGCAUUCCGUGCCUUUGCUGCGAUUGUUGCGGUGAUCCUCCGCAGCGGACCACCGUGGUACACCAUCACCACCCUUCACCGAAUCAACCCGCCGUCAUCAUCAACCAACCACCACCUCCAUACAGAUAGAUAUAUACUGAAUAUGUGAUUAGUUUCCCUAAAAAUUUAAAUGCGAUGUAGAACCAAAUAUUUUAAAUUUAAGUUAAAAUACGCUACUGGUUUUCAUAUAAAAAUAUUACCAUUAUGCAUUUCAGUUUAUAAGACUAUAAUGUGAGGGACGCGACAGACGGAACAAAAUUCAUUUCAAUACUAAGGUUAUUUAUUUACAUUAUUUGGUUACAUUUAGUUUACAGGGACAUUAUAGAAGUAUUUAUUUAUAUUUUCAUAUAAUUAACUAUAAUCUGAUAUCGAGAGAACGCAGUAAUUCCAUUGAUGGACAUUAUUAAGUCCAAUAUUAAUUUAGUAAAAUAUUGAAAUUAAAUCUAUGAUGUAUUUAUUUUAAGAGUACCGAAAGUUAUGCGAUAUUAAGAAUUACAGUUUAAUUAAAAAUGUAUAUAAUGGAUAAUGCUGUUUAUUAUUUCAGUCAAGCUAGUUUUCUUAGAUAGGAAUAAUCUUGUCAAUUCCUUUUUGAAACUUAAUCGUUAAUAAUUAAUUUGUUAAUUUCUUUUUAUGUUCUUUCUUUUUCUUUCUUUGUAUCUAUUUCAUCUUAUUUAAUUUUACACGAUAAUUUGUCACACAAACGAGUACUUACCGACUCAAAGAGGCUUUGAAAUCAUUACCUACAUAUCAUUCAUGUUUAUGCUGUUUUAAAACAAAAUAAUAAACAAUAUAGAAAUUAUAU